AAUAGCCUAACGGCUGAACCAGCAACUUGGAGGAAUGUAUAGCGAAAGCUAAUUGUAUAUUUAGUAUGUAUAAUAUUGACUAUGUCAACUAAAGUUCAAGGUAAAAAAAUGAUGAUGACAUUUUUAUCUGUGUGUCUUGACUAAAUCACGUGCCAGCAGUCGCGGUAAUACGUGGAAGACUAGUGUUAUUCAUCUUUAAUAGGUUUAAAGGGUACCUAGACGGUAUAUCUAGCCCCAAAAGGGAACUGGUAAACUAGAGUUUUAUGUGAGAGGGGGAGUACCUUUGUAGAAGAGAUGAAAUUCUGUCAUAACGGAGGAAGACUGGUAAAGGCGAAAGCAACCUUUUAUGCAAAAA
rnacentral:rRNA from 1 species